ensembl:lncRNA
CACACUCUCUCUCUUACACACACAAACGCACAAGUAAGACAAAUAAACAGUCGCUCCAUGAGGAGGUAAUGCAUGGUUUAACAGGGGAAAGGCUUUUAAGAGGCUGCUGAAGUCAGCUCAAUAUGGAAUACACCAUUUCAGGACGAGGAACAGGAAGAGAUCAGCCAGACAGGGUCACACUGUGGGAAAGGAAUCAAUCAGGGAUAUCUCCCACACACAGCAUAUGCAGCAGACGACUUUCUUCCACCUGGCCAUGGAGAUGUCAACAACUACUGUAGUUCCAGUACCUGUUCCUGCAAGCUGAAUUGAAAUUAUUAUAAUUAUUUGGGGCCUUAUUUCUGCCAUAUUCUGUGUUAUAUAUUGUCAGUUUCUUUAUAAAGAUUGUUUGUUUACUGUUCAUAAUCACACUGAAAUGUAAACUAUUUUGGCUCCAAUUUAAACAUAUUUAUGCAUCGUUGUUCAGUAUAAUAAUUUGUUCUAGUAGUGAUGAAUUAAUCCAAACAACACCAGCAGUUGCUGUUAAAAGUAUUUUUUUAAAUAGUGACAAUCUCGUUUGAAACAAUUAAGCUUUAUUUGUUGGAGCUCAAUGGAAUUAGAAUAAAACAGAAGGGAGUGGAGGUGUUGAUGUCAGUUAGUUUACUCCAAUCAGGGGAGGGGUAGUAAGGUAGUAGUAAUAAUAAAUAAAGAACUAAUAAUAAAUAAAUAAAUAAAUAAAUAAAUAAAUAAAUAAAUAAAUAAAUAAAUAAAUAAAGGGGGAUUAGAAAUUAUGGAAGUAAUUACUUUAAUAGAACCUCAAAUUUAUCUGCAAUAUGAAAACUGAGCCCCCUAAGUAGUUCGUAAGUCCGACAUUGUGUUUAAGUGCUUUGAAGUCAGAACAUUUCUUCAACCAAUAAGAUCAUAGAUAGCUAGGUAAGCUAACUAACAUUGCUAAAGUAAAGUUAGUUAGCUAGCUUUCUUAACAUUGACAAUAUGGUCAAACUAGCUACAUUAUCCACAAGUGUGUAAUUGCCAACAACGGAUUUGUUGUCAUCUUUUGGUUGAAAAGGUGAAAGCCAAUGGUGAAACGUCACAACUCUUCUCAGAGUUUCCCACUUAUAAAUACGACUUGGAUGGUCAUUCAAGGGACAUUUCCCAGUCGGAACUCAGAAGUUCUGCUAAGUCAAUUGCAUGAUGUGAACGCCCCAUAACACAAAAACUGAAACGAAAUCAUUUAAAAACGAAAUAGAAAUAUUUUUAAAACAAAAACUAAAUACAAACUAGAAAAUCAGAUCGGAAAACUAGCUGAAACUGAAUUUCAUAUAAAAAUCGUAAAACAAACAGAAAUAAUAACUAAUAUAAAAACACAAAACUGUAAUAGCCUUGGUGCAAAAAUUCCUUUGAAAGAGGGUAAGGGGUUAAAGUUCCAUCCUGUUAUUUUCUUCAGUGUUGCCUUGACUGACAGAGGUGACUGGCAGAGGGCCUGUGAUUUCACAAAGCAAGAGGUGCAUUGUGGGUCUCAGUGUGACCACCUUGGCUUCACAGACAAAUCGAUUAGUGCAGGUUCAGGGCUGAGGCUCAGAGCGCUUUGCAUAUGGAACACAAUAUGGGAAGAGGGCUCUGCCAAGUAAACACACACACGCGUACACACACACACACACACAUCUAAAAAUGCACACACAAAUACACACACUCACAUAAAUGCAUAUACUGAUCAAUAGUAUAAAUUCAACAUGCAAAGAUGUCAAAGAUUUUACUGAGUUACAGUUCAUAUAAGUAAAUCAGUCAACAGAAAUACAUUAAUUAGGCCCCAAUCUAUGGAUUUCACGUGACUGGGCAGGGGUGUAGCCAUGGGUGGACCUUGGAGGGCAUAGGCCCCCCCACUUAGUAACCAGGCCGACCCACAUGGGAGACAGGCCCGGCCAAUCAAAAUUACAUUUUCCUCAAAAAAGGGCUUAAUUACAGACAUAAAUACUCCUCAGCACCACCCCAGCACCCCUAAGACGAUCUCACAGGUAAAGAAGCCUGAUGUGGAUGUCCUGGGCUGGCAUGGUUACAAGUGGUCUGCGAUUGUGAGGCUGAUUGAACAUACUGCUAAUUUCUCUAAAACGACAUUGGAGGCUGCUUAUGGUAGAGAAAUUAACAUUAAAUUGUCUUGCAAAAGCUCUGGUGGACAUUCCUGCAGUCAGCAUGCCAAUUGCACAUUUCCUCAAAGACAUCUGUGACAAAACUGCACAUUUUAAAGUGGCCUUUUAUUGUCCCCAGCACAAGGUGCACCUGUGUAAUGACCAUGCUGUUUGAUGAACUUCUUGAUAUGACACACCUGUCAGGUAGAUGGAUUAUCUUGGCAAAAGAGAAAUACUCACUAACAGGGACGCAAACAAAUUCAUGCACAUUUGAGAGUAAUAAGCUUUUUGCAUGUAUGGAAAAUUUCAGGAUUUUUUUUUUCAGCUCAUGAAACAUGGGACCAACACUUUACAUGUUGCAUUUAUAUUUUUGUUCAGUGUACAACGGUAACUUACCAGUUCACAGUCCACAGUAUACCAGCCCUCCCCUCCCACGGUCUACAACACCCUCCGCCCCUCCCUCCCUGUGCCCCAUCUGGCUGAAAAGUAAGUGCUUGUCUGGGAAGGCCGCCUCGGAUACCCUUCCUUCUUACAGUUUUUUUCAAUCCUUUUGUGCUAUUUUCACAAGUAUGUGGUGAAUUUUCUUAACACCGAAUGCAAAACUCAAAACAGGUCUUACAUUCGAAAUAAUUGAUUAUGCAUUUAUUUUAUUUGGAGAUAUCUUUCAUCACACAAUCAUAGAUCCAAAUACCAUGAGAACAUUGAUAUAAUCACCAAAUCAUAACAUAACAUCUUCUCAAUACACCAUACGUGUUUUAAUCAGGCUAGGGUCUAUUUUUCUCCACUUCCUGUCUGACUGACAUGCCCAAAGUAAACUGCCUGUUACUCAGGCCCAGAAGCCAGGACAUGCAUAUAAUUGGUACCGUUGGAUAGAAAACACUUUGAAGGUUGUAGACUGUUAAAAUAAUGUAAGAGACUAUAACACAAUUGAUAUUCUAGGACAAAAUCCAAAGAAAAACCAAACAGAAUCUUUUUUUUGAGAGCCCAUGCUCUUACAACGGAAAGCUAUGGGUUAUAUGCAAUUCCAGCUCCCAGAUUGCAAUUCCUAUGGCUUCUACUAGAUGUCAAAAGUCUUUAUUCAAGGUUUCAGGCUUGUUUCUUCCCAAACGAGGAAUAAUUUAGCGUUUUGAUACUGGGAGUUAGAGUUGGAAAUCAGUCUUUGUGCGUUCAACGAAGAUGAUGCGCGCUUAUUUUUCUUUUCUAUUGAACAUACUUAUUUCCGUAUGAAAUAUUAUAGUGUAAUGACAUUUUAGGGUACCUGAGGAAAUGUAUUUUGACUUGUUUUAACAAAGUUUAAAGGUAGCUUUUUGGAUUCCUUUCUCUGCAUGUUGAAGGAGGGGAUUACUCAAAUUGAUGGUGACUUUUUGGGAUAUAAAGAAGGAUUUUAUCUAACAACAUGACCAUGCAUGUUGUAGCUGGGACCCUUUGGAUUGUAAAUCAGAGGAAGAUUUCACAAAAGUAUGUGAAUAUUUAAUUGCUAUUUAAUUGCUAUUUGUGAUUUAUGAAGCCUGUGCUGGUUGAAUUUUUUUUGAUGUGGGGCGCCAUCCUCAAACAAUCGUAUGGCUUUCGCUGUGAAGCCUAUUAUCCAGCGGACAAUGCAGUUAGAUUAACAAUAAUAUACACUUUUAGCCGAUAUAAGACACUUGUAUGUACAGUUUGUCUGAAUUGAUGACAUUGCAUACCUCACCCAUGGUGAGGAGUGGGGUGGCGCGCUCAUGGGGAUGGCGAUCAUAAGGCCUUCCACCUGUAUUGUAAUCAUGUAUUGUUUACAGUACUGUAUUGGCCAAUGUAAUUUUAGUAAAGCAGUGUUAACAAUACAAACCUAAUUUCCAUUAUGUAGUUCUCAGCCUGUCAAUGGCAAUACAUUCCCCAAAGCCCAACACUGUCAACCAAGAGUCAAGUCUAAAUGAUGGUUUAUUUGGUAGUAUUUCGUAGUGUGAUUGAUUUGACUAUGAGUACUGUACAAAGUUAGAGGUGUGCUAUUUGAUAGGUUCUCCCGCUUCCAGUGGGGAGACCUGAGGUCAACCUACCCCCACCCCCCUCCCUCUGGCUUCCAGUGGGGAGACCUGAGGUCAACCUACCCCUACUCCCCUCCCCAUCUCUUACUUCUGAGUGUGACACCUUCCCAGGCAGUAGCCUGCCUAGCUCACAAACUAGAAUCAGGGCGCCCAAUCCGACAAUGUUAAUUGACCCACAGUCCCACAUGGUGACAUGAUAUCAUUGACGUGAUGUGCAAAUGAGCAAUAGAAAACCACUCAAAUGUCACCAUUCUGAUUUUUUUUGUGCGGGUGCCCCCUGACUGUAGGUGCCAAGGUCUGGAGGUCUCUGGAUGACAGAACAAGAUAGAUCUAUUUCAUAGAGGAUGUUUGUUUCUUUAUAAGAGGGAGGUCAUCCGCACGUUUUGGACAGUUGUUUGUCUGGGUUUGGUGCUGGCUUGGCGGGAGGUUGUGAUUAUAGGGUUUGCCAUGAGGGACUUAUAUUUUUGGCGUGCAACGGUUGGUAUGCAGUGGGGAUUGCUUCCUGGCAGCUACCACAUUGCACUUCACGUUCCCCCAUCGCAUCCCCUCACUGAGAUUGAUGCAUGUUGGUCAGUUGAGGGUCCCUCCCCUUCAGACUCAGACAGAGAGAAAAGACUGCGCUUCUUUCACAUGCAAAACAGGGGACGGAGUUACUUUGGACAACCCCGUUCCCCACCCGCCACUCAGUCAAGAUCCCACGGCUGAUACAAACAUGCUACCUCAUUAGUCAAGUGUGUUAUUAUAAUAAUCACUGACACCACCACUGCCCCGCCAUCUGUAAUCAACUAAAUCAAGAACCCUUUAUGAGUGCCCAGGAAAAAGAGAGAGAGAGAGAGAAGGUCAUAUACUUUCAACAGGGAAUGCUGAUUGGAAAUCUUUGUGGACUUCAAUUAUCUUGAUAAAUAUUGCAUUUUUUUACAGGCCAAGAUCACAAGGACAGCAGUUACACUCUUUCAUUUUGCUACAGCUCCCAGCAACAUAUACAGACAUUUCCUAACACUUAGUUACUCUAAAUUAUUUGGGGCAUGGACUACAAGUUGUCCAAAGCGUUCCACAGGGAUGCUGGCCCAUGGUGAUGCCAAUGCUUCCGACAUUUGUGUCAAGUUGUCUGGAUGUCCUUUGGGUGGUUAAUUAUAUUUGAUACACAUGGGAAAUUGUUGAGUGAAGUUCUUGACACACUUAAACCGGUGCGCCUCUGAAUGGCCCACAUACCCAAUCCAUGUCUCAAUUGUCUCAAGGCUUAAAGAUGCUUCUCUAACAUGUAUCCUCCCCUUCAUUUCCACUGAUUGAAGUGGAUGUCAUCAAUAAGAGAUCAUAGCUUUCACCUGGAUUUACCUAGUCAGUCUAUGUCAUGGAAAGAGCGGGUGUUCCUAAUGUUUUGUACACUCUGUGUAUUCCCUAUGUCUAGUAAAUACACUAUAUAUACAAAAGUAUGUGGACAACCCUUCAAAUUAGUGGAUAAUGGCCAUCUCAGACACACCGUUGCUGACAGGUGUAGAAAAUUGAGCACACAGCUAUGCAAUCUGCAUAGACAAGAAAAUGGAAAUAGAAUGGCCGUAGUGAAGAGCUCAGUGAUUUUCAACGUGGUGCCGUCAUAGGAUGACAGCUUUCCAACAAGUCAGUUCGUCAAAUUUCUGCCCUGCUAGAGCUGCCCCGGCCAACUGUAAGUGCUGUUAUUGGCACACAAGCUCAUAGAACAGGACCGCUUAAGCUUGUAGCGUGUGAAAAUCAUCUGUCCUCGGUUGCAACACUCACUACAAAGUUCCAAACUGCCUCUGGAAGCAAAGUCAGCUAAAUAACUGCUCAUUGGGAGCUUCAUGAAAUGGUUUUCCAUUGCUGAACAGCCAUACACAAGCCUAAGAUCACCAUGCGCAAUGCCAAGCGUUGGCUGGAGUGGUGUAAAACUUGUCUCCAUCGGACUCUGGAGCAGUGGAAACACAUUCCCUGGAGUGAUGAAUCACGCUUCACCAUCUGGCAGUCCGAUGGACAAAUCUGGGUUUGACGGAUGCCAGGAGAACAAUACCUGCCCGAAUGCAUAGUGUCAACUGUAAAGUUUGUUGGAGGAGUAAUAAUGGUCUGUUUUUUCAUGGUUUGGGUUUGGCCCCUUAGUUCCAGUGAAGAAAAGUCUUAAGGCUACAGCAUACAAUGACAUUCUAGACUCUUCUGUGCUUCCAAGUUUGUGGAAACAGUUUGGAGAAGGUCCUUUCCUGUUUCAGCAUGACAAUGCCCGCGUGCACGAACGGAGGUCAAAUGGUUUGUCGAGAUCGAUGCAGAAGAACUUGACUGGCCUGCACAGAGCUCUGACUUCAACUCCAUCGAACACCUUUGCAACAAAUUGGAGGGCCGACUGAGAGCCAGGCCUAAUCGCCCAACAUCAGUGCACAACCUCAGUAACGCUCUCGUGGCUGAAUGAAAGGAAGUCCCCACAGCAACAUUCUAACAUCUGCUGGAAAGCCUUCCCAGAAGAGUGGAGGCUGUUAUAGCAGCAAAGGAGGGACCAACUCCAUAUUAUUAAUACCCAUGAUUUUGGAAUGAUAUGUUUGCCAACCUACUUUUGGUAAUGUAGUGUAAUUCUGCAUUUCAGUGAAGUUAAUGAUGCUAGCAAUAGCCUAAACAUAUUCCAAUUCACGUCAUGUCACACGCUCUCUCUCUCGCUGUCUCUUGCUCUUUCCCCUCAACAAUGAAAUCUUCUGACAAAUCAAACUUGUAAACAACUAUCAACUAUCCAUAGCAAGCUGCUCUAUCCUCGCUAAUUGGAGGAGUAAAAAUGCGCUAAAUGUAAAAGCUAUGUACAGUGCCUUGCGAAAGUAUUCGGCUCCCUUGAACUUUGCGACCUUUUGCCACAUUUCAGGCUUCAAACAUAAAGAUAUAAAACUGUAUUUUUUUGUGAAGAAUCAACAACAAGUGGGACACAAUCAUGAAGUGGAACGACAUUUAUUGGAUAUUUCAAACUUUUUUAACAAAUCAAAAACUGAAAAAUUGGGCGUGCAAAAUUAUUCAGCCCCCUUAAGUUAAUACUUUGUAGCGACACCUUUUGCUGCGAUUACAGCUGUAAGUAGCUUGGGGUAUGUCUCUAUCAGUUUUGCACAUCGAGACUGAAAUUUUUUCCCAUUAGUCCUUGCAAAACAGCUCGAGCUCAGUGAGGUUGGAUGGAGAGCAUAUGUGAACAGCAUUUUCAGUUCUUUCCACAGAUUCUCGAAUGGAUUCAGGUCUGGACUUUGACUUGGCCAUUCUAACACCUGGAUAUGUUUAUUCCAUUGUAGAUUUUGCUUUAUGUUUUGGAUCAUUGUCUUGUUGGAAGACAAAUCUCCGUCCCAGUCUAAGGUCUUUUGCAGACUCCAUCAGGUUUUCUUCCAGAAUGGUGCUGUAUUUGGCUCCAUCCAUCAAUUUUAACCAUCUUCCCUGUCCCUGCUGAAGAAAAGCAGGCCCAAACCAUGAUGCUGCCACCACCAUGUUUGACAGUGGGGAUGGUGUGUUCAGGGUGAUGAGCUGUGUUGCUUUUACGCCAAACAUAACAUUUUGCAUUGUUGCCAAAAAGUUCAAUUUUGGUUUCAUCUGACCAGAGCACCUUCUUCCACAUGUUUGGUGUGUCUCCCAGGUGGCUUGUGGCAAACUUUAAAC